AUGAUGCAGUCGUUCCUCGACGAUGCCAACGAGGAGAUGAAGAAUAAUCUGGUGAGGACCUGGGUGAAGCACAUUCGCCAGCUCGCCUACGAUGUCGAAGACUGCGUCGAAAAUGUUGUUCAGCUGGAUGACAAGCCAAUCUUCUGGCGCCGGCUGCUUCCGUCCUGGAUGGCGCCGCCGCUGCCGUUGGACGAGGCCGUAGAGGAGCUGGAGCAGCUCAAGUGCAGGGUGGAGGAUGUAAACAACUGCUACAGACGCUACAACCUCAUCAACUUCGAAUCUGCUGCAGGGUCAUCAUCCAAACUGGCGCACGGCACGACCGCAUAUGAGAUGCUGCUCGCCGACGCAAGGCGCACCACCAAGAGGCAGCACAGCCACUUGGAUGACCUCGCCAGCCAUAUAAUCACCAACAAAGUACACAAGCACCUGCAAGUGAUCUCCUUGUGGGGGUCGGCCGGCGAUCUUGGGACCACGUCCAUCAUCAGGGAGACCUACAAUGAUCCAGAAAUCUGUCAAUACUUUGCCUGCCGUGCGUGGGUGAAGCUGGUGCAUCCCUUCAGUCCCCACGACUUCAUCCAUGGUCUUAUGGCCCAGUUCUACGCAAACUCUUGCAAAGAAGAAGAAAAUGUUGCAACCGUAGGUAUGCAUGUCCUAUCGAAGAUGGAUACCACCCAUGCUCAUCUGUUCAAGGAGUUUGAGCAGCUAGUCACACAAAAGGCGUACCUCGUCGUCUUGGAAGGCCUGUCAAACAUGGUAGAGUGGGAUGUCAUCAGGACGUUUCUUCCUCACAGCGAGGAGGGAAGCUGUAUCAUUGUGUCCACGCAGCAACUCGAAAUAGCAAGCUUGUGCAUCGGCCAUUCUUACCAGAUAUUGGAGCUGAAACAGUUCUCGCCUCAGCAUUCUGUUUGUGCAUUCUUCAAGGAACCAAGGGUGCGUAAAGCAAGCCAAAAGAGUGAAGCGGAAGAUUGGAUGACGGAUCAGCCCCUUGUUGGACGUGAAUCACAAAUAAGAGAACUUCAUAAGUAUGUGGGUGAAGCACGCAUCAACUCUUCCCAUGUGGUGUCUGUAUGGGGAAUGGCUGGCGUUGGGAAAUCAUGUCUUUGGUCAGACACUUCUACUUUGAAAUGA
rnacentral:rRNA from 1 species